rnacentral:rRNA from 1 species
UACGUAGGGGGCUAGCGUUGUCCGGAUUUAUUGGGCGUAAAGAGCGUGUAGGCGGCCAUGUAGGUCCGGUGUGAAAACUCGAGGCUCAACCUCGAGAUGUCGAUGGAAACCGUCUGGCUAGAGUCCGGAAGAGGAGUGUGGAAUUCCUGGUGUAGCGGUGAAAUGCGCAGAUAUCAGGAAGAACACCCGUGGCUAAGGCGGCUCUCUAGUACGGUACUGACGCUGAGACGCGAAAGCGUGGGGAGCGAACAGG